CUUUCAUUUCCUCACUUUCGUCGCAGGCUUUGAAGAAGGAAGCAAAACCAGUGAUUCGGAGCUGCGAAAAGAGAUCGAUUUCGAAGUCUUUUCGUCAUGAGAGCUAAGUGGAAGAAGAAGCGUAUGAGGAGGUUGAAGAGGAAGAGAAGAAAGAUGAGGCAAAGAUCUAAGUAAUCUAAUUUCUUUGGAAGCCAGUAAUUCCGAUCUCUUGUUCUUUAGAUUUCGCGUUGCUUCAUGGAUACUUUACUUUUAAGAAGGAUUUUCGUUGUUGCCUUUGAUGAACCAUUUUGAUCUUAUUGGGAGCAUGUUGAUUUUUUUUUA